GAUGAACGCUGGCGGCGUGCCUAAUACAUGCAAGUCGAGCGAACAGACGAGGAGCUUGCUCCUCUGACGUUAGCGGCGGACGGGUGAGUAACACGUGUAUAACCUACCUAUAAGACUGGGAUAACUUCGGGAAACCGGCGCUAAUACCGGAUAAUAUAUUGAACCGCAUGGUUCAAUAGUGAAAGACGGUUUUGCUGUCACUUAUAGAUGGAUCCGCGCCGCAUUAGCUAGUUGGUAAGGUAACGGCUUACCAAGGCAACGAUGCGUAGCCGACCUGAGAGGGUGAUCGGCCACACUGGAACUGAGACACGGUCCAGACUCCUAAGGGAGGCAGCAGUAGGGAAUCUUCCGCAAUGGGCGAAAGCCUGACGGAGCAACGCCGCGUGAGUGAUGAAGGUCUUCGGAUCGUAAAACUCUGUUAUUAGGGAAGAACAAAUGUGUAAGUAACUAUGCACGUCUUGACGGUACCUAAUCAGAAAGCCACGGCUAACUACGUG
rnacentral:rRNA from 1 species